GACGAACGCUGGCGGCGUGCUUAACACAUGCAAGUCGAACGGAAAGGCCCUGCUUUUGUGGGGUGCUCGAGUGGCGAACGGGUGAGUAACACGUGAGUAACCUGCCCUUGACUUUGGUAUAACUUCAGGAAACUUGGGCUAAUACCGGAUAGGAGCUCCUGCUGCAUGGUGGGGGUUGGAAAGUUUCGGCGGUUGGGGAUGGACUCGCGUCUUAUCAGCUUGUUGGUGGGGUAGUGGGUUACCAAGGCUUUGACGGGUAGCCGGCCUGAGAGGGUGACCGGCGACAUAGGGAGAGAGAGACGGCGCAGACUCCUAUGGGAGGCAGAAGUGGGGAAAAUUGUAGAAAGGGCGGAAGACUGAGGCAGAGAAGUUGUGUGCGGGAGGAGGGGGUUCGGGGUGUAAAAAGCGUUCGCAUGUGAGGAAGAGGGAGUGACGGUAAUGGGUAAAGAAGCAACGGCUAAAUACGUG
rnacentral:rRNA from 1 species